CCUACGGGAGGCAGCAGUGGGGAAUAUUGCACAAUGGGCGAAAGCCUGAUGCAGCGACGCCGCGUGAGGGAUGACGGCCUUCGGGUUGUAAACCUCUUUCGCACGGGACGCGGUACCGUGAGAAGAAGCACCGGCUAACUACGUGCCAGCAGCCGCGGUAAUACGUAGGGUGCGAGCGUUGUCCGGAAUUAUUGGGCGUAAAGAGCUCGUAGGCGGUUUGUCGCGUCGACUGUGAAAUCUGGGGGCUUAACUCUCAGAUUGCAGUCGAUACGGGCAGACUUGAGUUCGGUAGGGGAGACUGGAAUUCCUGGUGUAGCGGUGAAAUGCGCAGAUAUCAGGAGGAACACCGGUGGCGAAGGCGGGUCUCUGGCCAUACUGACGCUGAGGAGCGAAAGCGUGGGGAGCGAACAGGAUUAGAUACCCUUGUAGUC
rnacentral:rRNA from 1 species